rnacentral:tmRNA from 1 species
GGGCUUGUACCGGUUUCGACGGGGAUCAUGAAGUUGGUGAAGCUAUCCGCAAGGCAAUGCGUUAAAUUCCAAAAAUAAAAUUAAACGCUGACGAUUCAUUCGCAGUGGCUGCCUAAAUGGCAGCUGUCGCCCUUAAGUACCUGUUCUUAAGAUAAGCGGCAUCAUUCAAACAGGAAACGAUGCAUGCUAAGCUUUGCGCAUGCAGCCGUAUCAUGAAGCUAGCAUGACCGAUCGGAUGUCUUUCUCCUGUCUGUCAUGCGAAUUAAAUACGGAAAGACUAUGAUAGUAGAAGAACAAUGAAUUGAUCUUCGGACAGGGGUUCGACUCCCCUCAGGUCCAUUC